rnacentral:rRNA from 1 species
AAUAGAUACCCUGGUAGUCCACGCCGUAAACGAUGGAUGCUAGCUGUUAGGAGUAUCGACCCUCCUAGUAGCGUAGCUAACGCGUUAAGCAUCCCGCCUGUGGAGUACGAGCGCAAGCUUAAAACAUAAAGGAAUUGACGGGGACCCGCACAAGCGGUGGAGCGUGUUGUUUAAUUCGAUGGUAAGCGAAAAACCUUACCCAGGUUUGACAUCCCACUAAGGAUCCCGAAAGGGAACUGUGUCUUCGGACCGUGGUGACAGGUGUUGCAUGGCCGUCGUCAGCUCGUGUCGUGAGAUGUUUGGUUAAGUCCAUCAACGAGCGCAACCCUUAUGAGUAGUUGUAUUUCUCUACUCAGACUGCCCUGGCAACAGGGAGGAAGGAGGGGAUGAUGUCAGGUCAGUAUUACCCUUACACCUGGGGCUACAAACACGCUACAAUGGCCGGUACAAAGGGCAGCCAACCCGCGAGGGGGAGCAAAUCCCAUCAAAGCCGGUCUCAGUUCGGAUUGCAGGCUGAAACUCGCCUGCAUGAAG